rnacentral:rRNA from 1 species
GACGAACGCUGGCGGCGUGCUUAACACAUGCAAGUCGAACGGAAAGGCCCUGCUUUUGUGGGGUGCUCGAGUGGCGAACGGGUGAGUAACACGUGAGUAACCUGCCCUUGACUUUGGGAUAACUUCAGGAAACUGGGGCUAAUACCGGAUAGGAGCUCCUGCUGCAUGGUGGGGGUUGGAAAGUUUCGGCGGUUGGGGAUGGACUCGCGGCUUAUCAGCUUGUUGGUGGGGUAGUGGCUUACCAAGGCUUUGACGGGUAGCCGGCCUGAGAGGGUGACCGGGCACAUUGGGACUGAGAUACGGCCCAGACUCCUACCGGAGGCAGCAGGGGGGAAUAUUGCACAAUGGGCGGAAGCCUGAUGCAGCAACGCCGCGUGCGGGAUGACGGCCUUCGGGUUAUAAACCGCUUUCGCCUGUGACGAAGCGUGAGUGACGGUAAUGGGUAAAGAAGCACCGGCUAACUACGUG